rnacentral:rRNA from 1 species
GUUGAACGCUGGCGGCAUGCCUUACACAUGCAAGUCGAACGGCAGCACGGGAGCAAUCCUGGUGGCGAGUGGCGAACGGGUGAGUAAUAUAUCGGAACGUGCCCAGUAGUGGGGGAUAACUGCUCGAAAGAGCAGCUAAUACCGCAUACGACCUGAGGGUGAAAGGGGGGGAUCGCAAGACCUUUCGCUAUUGGAGCGGCCGAUAUCAGAUUAGCUAGUUGGUGGGGUAAAGGCCUACCAAGGCAACGAUCUGUAGUUGGUCUGAGAGGACGACAGGCCACACUGGGACUGAGACACGGCCCAGACUCCUACGGGAGGCAGCAGUGGGGAAUUUUGGACAAUGGGCGCAAGCCUGAUCCAGCAAUGCCGCGUGCAGGAAGAAGGCCUUCGGGUUGUAAACUGCUUUUGUCAGGGAAGAAAUCCUCUAGGUUAAUACCCUUGGGGGGAUGACGGUACCUGAAGAAUAAGCACCGGCUAACUACGUGCCAGCCGCCGCCGUAACAC